rnacentral:rRNA from 1 species
UACGUAGGGUGCAAGCGUUGUCCGGAAUUACUGGGCGUAAAGAGCUCGUAGGUGGUUUGUCGCGUUGUUCGUGAAAACUCACAGCUCAACUGUGGGCGUGCGGGCGAUACGGGCAGACUUGAGUACUGCAGGGGAGACUGGAAUUCCUGGUGUAGCGGUGGAAUGCGCAGAUAUCAGGAGGAACACCGGUGGCGAAGGCGGGUCUCUGGGCAGUAACUGACGCUGAGGCGCGAAAGCGUGGGGAGCAAACGGG